UACGGAGGGUGCAAGCGUUAUCCGGAUUCACUGGGUUUAAAGGGUGCGUAGGAGGGCAGGUAAGUCAGUGGUGAAAUCUCCGAGCUUAACUUGGAAACUGCCGUUGAUACUAUCUGUCUUGAAUAUUGUUGAGGUUUGCGGAAUGGGUCAUGUAGCGGUGAAAUGCAUAGAUAUGACCCGGAACACCAAUUGCGAAGGCAGCAGGCUAAGCAAAGAUUGACGCUGAGGCUCGAAAGCGUGGGGAUCAAACAGG
rnacentral:rRNA from 1 species